AGAGUUUGAUCCUGGCUCAGGACGAACGCUGGCGGCGUGCCUAAUACAUGCAAGUCGAGCGGAGUUACAAGAGAUGCUUGCAUCUCUUGUAACUUAGCGGCGAACGGGUGAGUAACACGUGGGUAACCUACCCAUCACAGGGGGAUAACAUUCGGAAACGGAUGCUAAUACCGCAUAGGUUCUUUGACCGCAUGGUCGAGGAAGGAAAAGAGGCCUUAGUGCUUCUGGUGAUGGAUGGACCCGCGGCGUAUUAGCUAGUUGGUGAGGUAAAGGCUCACCAAGGCAUUGAUACGUAGCCGACCUGAGAGGGUAAUCGGCCACAUUGGGACUGAGACACGGCCCAAACUCCUACGGGAGGCAGCAGUAGGGAAUCUUCCGCAAUGGACGAAAGUCUGACGGAGCAACGCCGCGUGAGUGAAGAAGGUUUUCGGAUCGUAAAACUCUGUUGUUAGAGAAGAACACGUGCUAGAGUAACUGCUAGCAUCAU
rnacentral:rRNA from 1 species